UGAUUUGCUUUAUAAAGUACUUUACAUUGUAUAAAAUGUCAUUUCAUUUGAUAAAAUAACCGAGUAUAGACGCGUUAUUUGGUGUAAAAUCAAAAUAACAGUUUCAUUAUUUAACGUUGUCGAAAUAAAUAUGAACAAUUCAAAGAAACCUUAUUAUACACCCGUCGCAAGUGUAUAUCAGAAACCAACGAAUCUUCUCCCACCAUUGCCACCGCCAAGCCCCAAGCCACCACAGCCUAAAUCUACUGUUUUAACCAAAAACGUCAAGCCCAGAAUGAUAUAGAGCUCAAGAUUAAAAAUACAUAUUGAAAUUUAAUAAGUAUAUAAUAAAAAAUACCUUAUCUAUUGCAGAAACAACUAUUUAUUAGAUCUACGUGUCGCUAAA